UGUUAUUUGGUCCCUUUCCCAUCAAGCGCUUUGAUAGCGCUUCAAAGCUUUCUGCGGUUUAAAUUUACUUCUACAAUACACGAAGACGGUUUCGAAUUAUUAUUAUUAUUAUUAUUAUUAUUAUUAUUAUUAUUAUUAUUAUUAUUAUUAUUAUUAUCAUCAUGCGAUAUAAAGCGGUUACAUGUUGUUAAAACUGACUGUGGUAGUUGUACCUUUAGGACUGUCGACUGUAUAGAACAGUGUCAAACAAAAGCGAAUGUCCAGCGACCUAAAACCUAACUAUCUUUAUACCGCACUAGUUCACCACUACAUAAGAGAAAACUGAAACUGUUGCGUAUGUGUAGUAUGUGUGUGUACACACACGCGCACGCGCGCGUCUACUGAAAUAUUCUGCAAUACAAGAUCACAAUAGAGGGCAAGACUGGUUGCUGGCCCCUUCGUAUUCUCAGCCUUCAGGAGUGUCGAAGUCGUCAUCGGAUUGGUUGAAUUCUACAGGAUUUCUGGGAGAAGUGUGUGUCGCAUUCUUUAACGUUCUGUCUGGAAACAAAGAUUCCAUUACGCCAAACCCCCUCACGAAAGAAGAAAGCUGUAGUGUUUACAACUGUGACAAUGAGUGCUUAUCAGGAUCAACUGAACACUAGAGUUUUAAAAGUAUGUGAAAUAUUUAAAGUUCACGGCAUAGAAUCUUUCAAAUACGUCUGAGAGUUUUACACACCGGUCUGUUAUUGUGGGAAUAUUUCCUCACCCUGAAAUGUGACGCUGAAUGAAACGAAUUGUGAUUGGUUGUUUCACAUGUCGGUCAAACGGCCUCAGGGCUGGGCCUUGACCAAUGAAAGCUGCCAUGAAUUCCAGGCCUUCAGCCGUCAGUCUGAAGGUCUGGCUACGCGAUACUAGACCCUUCUGGCCUCCCCUAUGAAAACAUCCUGGCACUUCCACUGCCUAAGAGGGCAAAGUGAUUAAUAUCAGUUCAUUUCUGAGUAUCUCUAUUGCUGGGGGAAAAAAACCCACGUUUAUGAAUGGGCAUUUGAUCUACAUUUGAGAGAAACUGAGAAGAUAGUAAACAAGGAUACAAACUGGCCAUCUUUCACUGAAAAUUGCCCUUCUGAAUUCAAAGGCCAUCUGUGUGAUUCCAGUAGAUCCAAUGAGUUGUAAACUCUUGCUACUUCAUACUUCAAUACAAAACAAUGCUGAACUUUGCCAAAAAAGAGAUUUCUAAAUGCUUUAAUAGAGAUUUUAUAAUCUCUAAAUAUAAAUCCAUUAGCAAAACGUGAAAAGAACCAUAUUACAGAGUGGAAAUGGUAAAUGAGACAAUAAAUGAUCUUCUGCUGCCA
ensembl:lncRNA